AUGAUGACUGUGCUGGGAAUCCCCCUUUUUCUCAGAAAAACUCCAGUUCUUUCAUCACCUCGCAGGGAUAUUUCUCGAUUCUCACUCGAGCCUUUGUUCUCAACUCUUCAAUUUUAUUUAGAUCUCCUGUCAGGAGCAUGAAGGCAUUUCUCACUGUAGGUGCUGCAAAUGUAAUUAAUUUCUUACAGAGGUUGACCAUCUGUAUGCAGCUGCCCACCACUCGCCUGAAGUGUCAGAGGGAAAUAACUGAGGGAAAUGGACCCUUCUUUGCUGCCUUUCCAAAAUGGUGAGGGGUGCUGUGAUAAUUGUGGGACACCAGGCUGUUUCACUCCUGCUCAGAAAAAAGGGGAGAGCUGCCAAUUUAUUUGUUCACACAGCAUCUGAGAAUCAUGUGUUUGAAAAUCUUGCAGAAGGUGGUUUUUUUCUUUCGUUGUGGGGUUUUUUUUUGGUAAUGCACAAUCCAAAGCACUGAUCUCUUGAUGUAUGGCUGCUGACAGGUGCCCAUCUGGUCCCCUGGAAGCCCAUCUUUCAUGCCUCUUUUCCUCUAGCGUGUGAGAUGGGGUGAAGCAGCGUCAGGCUGGAGUGUGUGCUUGUGGCACAGCGGAGGAGGUCUACCGGGUGUCUGCAGCCGAAUGGGACGUGGGAUGCAAGAUUGCAUCUUCCACAGAUGGGUGUCAUGCAACCGAGUCUGCUCAUCCUUGUGGGUAUCGGAAUUGUUGCUGUCUCUAUUGACUGCACACACAGGGAAGGGAAAGAAGAAAAAUGAUGCUGCUGCAAAGACAAUCAUGAGUUCAUCAUGCAUGUGAAUGCUGUGGCCCUGACUUCAUUGGGAACAGGAGAUCUGUGCACUGCCAGUAGGGAAGAGGUUAAAUUUUGAUAGCGUUUCUAUUAAGCCAGGAAAAGUUUGACCUCUGCCUGUUCUUUACUUCUAACUGAAUUAGUGAGAUUAUGACAAAGACUGUGUAGGCGUGCUCCCAGUAUUUAUUUUCCAAAAGAUGGAAAUAUCAUCUUCCUUGACCUUCAGCGGUUUCAGCAGUGGGAGUUGGAGUGCUGCAUCCUCGGCGCAGGGGCCACGGUGCAGCCUGAAAGCCUCCUGCACCCUGAUUUCCUCCGGCUGGCUCCGCAGCCUCCUCACUGCGCUGCUGGUGGCAGGGCAGGGUUUGCUGU